UACGGGGGGGGCAAGCGUUGUUCGGAAUUACUGGGCGUAAAGGGCUCGUAGGCGGCCAACUAAGUCAGACGUGAAAUCCCUCGGCUUAACCGGGGAACUGCGUCUGAUACUGGAUGGCUCGAGUUUGGGAGAGGGAUGCGGAAUUCCUGGUGUAGCGGUGAAAUGCGCAGAUAUCAGGAGGAACACCAAUGGCGAAGGCAGCUCGCUGGGACGGUACUGACGCUGAGACGCGAAAGCGUGGGGAGCGAACAGG
rnacentral:rRNA from 1 species